CACCAAGCCUAGCGAGUACACAGGGAACUCCUCGGAGUGGAGUACCUGUACUCGCAGACUGGCAGAGUGCUGCAGGAUGUCAGCGGGGACCCUGACCUUCCGGAAGAGCAGCUGUCGAGCAGCUCGACGAGGGCUUUCAGGAGGAGGAUGUAGACCAGACAGUCCACAUCCCUCAUGUCCCUCGUGUGAGCGCCCCGUCCUCCAGCUCGGCGGCACCUCUGUCAGGGGAACCCGCUGACGCACCCAGGUCUGGGCCAUCCAGUCCCACCGCCCCUGAGGACGGAAGCUCUCCUGAGGCCCCUGGUCGACACAGUUCUCCUCACCCUGACCACUCCUCUGAUUCAGAGGGGAACUCCUCGGAGUGGAGUACCUGUACUCGCAGACUGGCAGAGUGCUGCAGGAUGUCAGCGGGGACCCUGACCUUCCGGAAGAGCAGCUGUCGAGCAGCUCGACGAGGGCUUUCAGGAGGAGGAUGUAGACCAGACAGUCCACAUCCCUCAUGUCCCUCGUGUGAGCGCCCCGUCCUCCAGCUCGGCGGCACCUCUGUCAGGGGAACCCGCUGACGCACCCAGGUCUGGGCCAUCCAGUCCCACCGCCCCUGAAGACGGAAGCUCUCCUGAGGCCCCUGGUCGACACAGUUCUCCUCACCCUGACCACUCCUCUGAUUCAGAGGGGAACUCCUCGGAGUGGAGUACCUGUACUCGCAGACUGGCAGAGUGCUGCAGGAUGUCAGCGGGGACCCUGACCUUCCGGAAGAGCAGCUGUCGAGCAGCUCGACGAGGGCUUUCAGGAGGAGGAUGUAGACCAGACAGUCCACAUCCCUCAUGUCCCUCGUGUGAGCGCCCCGUCCUCCAGCUCUCUUUCUUUCUCUCUCGGAGAACCUGACAUGAUGACUCCUUGCUGUCCCCAGACCACCUGGCCGUGCUGCUACUCCAGUGCACUCCGCAGGUUAGAGACUUGGCUACGGGCUUGCAUGGGCCAAGAGAGCCUGAAUGGCAUAGUUGUCUGUAAUGUACAUAAAGACAGGCUAGUCUCGAGGGAAAAUAUCUGCCAGCAAUUUGUUGGAUCCAUUGAACCCCGCAAACAUAUGUUCGGUUCUUUUGUUCAGUAGUGGUUCUCAACCUUUUUUUGGGAUACUGGAACCACUGCAUAUAAGGUUUUGAGCAGUCCUCAGUCCACAUGGUGUGUAAAGUUAGUGGAAACCUUGUGGUACUGAAUACAUUCAUUAUACUUUAUAAUUUCACGGACCCCUAGGUGUCCAUGGACGAUGUAGUUUGGUCCUAUACGGUUUGAAUGGAAUAGAGGAGAUUUCACGUUGUAACUUUUAUGUUGCAGUUUUUGUACAUGAGUUGUUGUAUUUUGGUACUGUCAACACAAAGCACCUAGCAAUGUAUUGGGGAUGUGUGUUUUACCUUGCUCCUGUGUAGAAAGAACAACUUGUCAGAUGCAUUGGAGACUGAUGUGUUCCUGUCCUGUCUUUUCACAAUACUAUUGCAGAUCAACAUAAAGCCUAAAAUACA